CCUACGGGAGGCAGCAGUGAGGAAUAUUGGUCAAUGGCCGGAAGGCUGAACCAGCCAUGCCGCGUGAAGGUCAGUGCCCUAUGGGCGUUAAACUUCUUUUGUGCGGGAGCAAUAAUGGUCACGUGUGGCCAGACGAGAGUACCGUACGAAUAAGCAUCGGCUAACUCCGUGCCAGCAGCCGCGGUAAUACGGGGGAUGCAAGCGUUUUCCGGAUUUAUUGGGUUUAAAGGGUGCGUAGGCUGUGAGGUAAGUCAGCGGUGAAAUGCCCCCGCUCAACGGGGUGAAGUGCCAUUGAGACUGCCUUGCUGGAAUGCGGAUGCCGUGGGAGGAAUGUGUGGUGUAGCGGUGAAAUGCAGAGAUAUCACACAGAACACCGAUUGCGAAGGCAGCUCACGAAUCCGCGAUUGACGCUGAUGCACGAAAGCGUGGGUAUCAAACAGGAUUAGAUACCCGAGUAGUC
rnacentral:rRNA from 1 species